rnacentral:rRNA from 1 species
GUAGGCGGCAAGCGUUGUCCGGAAUUAUUGGGCGUAAAGCGCGCGCAGGCGGUUCUUUAAGUCUGAUGUGAAAGCCCACGGGCUCAACCGUGGAGGGUCAUUGGAAACUGGAGAACUUGAGUACAGAAGAGGAAAGCGGAAUUCCACGUGUAGCGGUGAAAUGCGUAGAGAUGUGGAGGAACACCAGUGGCGAAGGCGACUUUCUGGUCUGUAACUGACGCUGAGGCGCGAAAGCGUGGGGAGCAAACAGGAUUAGAUACCCUGGUAGUCCACGCCGUAAACGAUGAGUGCUAAGUGUUAGGGGGUUUCCGCCCCUUAGUGCUGCAGCUAACGCAUUAAGCACUCCGCCUGGGGAGUACGGCCGCAAGGCUG